UGGUGAAGGCUACAAACUAAGCACAUGUACACAUACAAAACAUUAGGUCAAGGCGUAGCCCAUGAGGUGGCAAGAAAUGGGCUACAUUUUCUA